GGAAAUUGGCGGGGUGCUACCAUGCAAGUCGAACGGUGAAGCAGAGCUUGCUCUGUGGAUCAGUGGCGAACGGGUGAGUAACACGUGAGCAAUCUGCCCCUGACUCUGGGAUAAGCGCUGGAAACGGCGUCUAAUACCGGAUACGAGCUGCGACCGCAUGGUCAGUAGCUGGAAAGAAUUUCGGUCAGGGAUGAGCUCGCGGCCUAUCAGCUUGUUGGUGAGGUAAUGGCUCACCAAGGCGUCGACGGGUAGCCGGCCUGAGAGGGUGACCGGCCACACUGGGACUGAGACACGGCCCAGACUCCUACGGGAGGCAGCAGUGGGGAAUAUUGCACAAUGGGCGCAAGCCUGAUGCAGCAACGCCGCGUGAGGGAUGACGGCCUUCGGGUUGUAAACCUCUUUUAGCAGGGAAGAAGCGAAAGUGACGGUACCUGCAGAAAAAGCGCCGGCUAACUACGUGCCAGCAGCCGCGGUAAUACGUAGGGCGCAAGCGUUAUCCGGAAUUAUUGGGCGUAAAGAGCUCGUAGGCGGUCUGUCGCGUCUGCUGUGAAAACCCGAGGCUCAACCUCGGGCCUGCAGUGGGUACGGGCAGACUAGAGUGCGGUAGGGGAGAUUGGAAUUCCUGGUGUAGCGGUGGAAUGCGCAGAUAUCAGGAGGAACACCGAUGGCGAAGGCAGAUCUCUGGGCCGUAACUGACGCUGAGGAGCGAAAGGGUGGGGAGCAAACAGGCUUAGAUACCCUGGUAGUCCACCCCGUAAACGUUGGGAACUAGUUGUGGGGUCCAUUCCACGGAUUCCGUGACGCAGCUAACGCAUUAAGUUCCCCGCCUGGGGAGUACGGCCGCAAGGCUAAAACUCAAAGGAAUUGACGGGGACCCGCACAAGCGGCGGAGCAUGCGGAUUAAUUCGAUGCAACGCGAAGAACCUUACCAAGGCUUGACAUAUAGAGGA
rnacentral:rRNA from 1 species